rnacentral:rRNA from 1 species
CCUACGGGAGGCAGCAGUAAGGAAUAUUGGUCAAUGGACGAAAGUCUGAACCAGCCAUGCCGCGUGGAGGAUGAAGGCCCUCUGGGUUGUAAACUUCUUUUAUAUGGGACGAAAAAAGGCCUUUCUAGGUCAACUGACGGUACCAUGUGAAUAAGCACCGGCUAACUCCGUGCCAGCAGCCGCGGUAAUACGGAGGGUGCAAGCGUUAUCCGGAUUCACUGGGUUUAAAGGGUGCGUAGGUGGGUUGGUAAGUCAGUGGUGAAAUCUCCGAGCUUAACUUGGAAACUGCCAUUGAUACUAUUAAUCUUGAAUAUCGUGGAGGUCAGCGGAAUAUGUCAUGUAGCGGUGAAAUGCUUAGAUAUGACAUAGAACACCAAUUGCGAAGGCAGCUGACUACUCGAAUAUUGACACUGAGGCACGAAAGCGUGGGGAUCAAACAGGAUUAGAUACCCUGGUAGUCCACGCCCUAAACUAUGGAUACUCGACAUUUGCGAUACACUGUAAGUGUCUGAGCGAAAGCAUUAAGUAUCCCACCUGGAAGUACGAUCGCAGAUUGAAACUCAAAGGAAUUGACGG